rnacentral:rRNA from 1 species
UACGAAGGGGGCUAGCGUUGCUCGGAAUUACUGGGCGUAAAGGGCGCGUAGGCGGACAGUUAAGUCAGAGGUGAAAGCCCAGGGCUCAACCCUGGAAUUGCCUUUGAUACUGGCUGUCUUGAGUAUGGGAGAGGUGAGUGGAGCUCCGAGUGUAGAGGUGAAAUUCGUAGAUAUUCGGAAGAACACCAGUGGCGAAGGCGACUCACUGGCCCAUUACUGACGCUGAGGCGCGAAAGCGUGGGGAGCAAACAGG